ACUCUUCUGCAUCCUAUCUCUGCAACGAAAACAUCAAGACCAAAAGGUUUAUUUUUCUUUCUUCUUCUGUGAUUUUUGUUUCCACAUACGUUCAAAACAUUUUGGAAUAGAUAGCCGAUACCUUUCUUCUUUACAGACCUCGCUUAACAUAACAAUGAUGGUUUGGAUGUAUCACCUCGAGCAGUGUGCGAUUUCAUGAAUCAAAGGGAUUUGAUGUAUCACAACCUCGUUGAUACAUAUAACUCCCUCCUCCCUGUUGAUUUAAUCUCACAGGUUCUUCAAAACCCUAGAAUUUGGAGAAGGCUAUUUACAACUUUGAGGCUUAACUCUGGAUACACGCAGCUGUAACUCUAAAGACAUUUAGCAGAUUUCAUACUUGAAUAGCUCUCUUGUUGCAUCAUGCCAUAAACCACUGAGAUACUCUUAACCAAAAUGUAAGUUUAUGCAAACUAUCUUUGUUGGACUAAAUUGUAUGUUGUAAUUGAAUACAGUAAUCGAUGAUACGCUCUUUAUAUUGUUAGUACUUUCUUUUAUCAGUUUAUAUUAGRCAUAUUUCAAGAUAUCCAUGUUAURYUGUGUAAAUAAUACAAUAAAUGCUUCUGUUACUCUUACCUUUCAAAGAAAUUGUAGGAUUUGUUAUUGUGAUGUAGUACUUGAGCAACCUGGAGCACAAGCUUCACGUAAGGGACUUCAUUUACACGGUAAUUGUAUUUAAUACUCCACUCAAGUGUUAGUAACUUAURCUAAUAGGYUGUCUUUUCCAUUCUCAACAUUUAUUCUCAAACCAACACUUUGAGGAUCAAAUGCUUACUCACCCACUCUGUUUUGAACAUGUGAUAUACCAAAAUGAAACUCUCAAAUAAGAUACACAAACAUCUUUCCUGUUAGAGCUUGGACUCGACUUUGUUUCUGGGUCCGAAAUGGGAUAUUGACCAUGGUAGUAGGGAUGUUAUUCCCUUACUUCAGUUCUAAUGUUUUAAUCAUACAAUACGUAAACCGA